rnacentral:rRNA from 1 species
CCUACGGGUGGCAGCAGUGGGGGAUAUUGCACAAUGGGGGAAACCCUGAUGCAGUGACGCCGCGUGAGUGAAGAAGUAUUUCGGUAUGUAAAGCUCUAUCAGCAGGGAAGAAAAUGACAGUACCUGACCCAGCACCCCCGGCUAACUACGUGCCAGCAGCCGCGGUAAUACGUAGGGGGCACGCGUUAUCCGGAUUUACUGGGUGUAAAGGGGGCGUAGACGGUUAUGUAAGUCUGGAGUGAAAGCCCGGGGCCCAACCCCGGGACUGCUUUGGAAACUGUGUAACUGGAGUACAGGAGGGGAAGGCGGAAUUCGUGGUGUAGCGGUGAAAUGCGUAGAUAUCAGGAGGAACACCGGCGGCGAAGGCGGCCUGCUGGACUGAAACUGACGCUGAGGCUCGAAAGCGUGGGGAGCAAACAGGAUUAGAUACCCGUGUAGUC